UGCGUAGGCGGGCUAAUAAGUCAGUGGUGAAAUCUCUCGGCUCAACCGAGAAACUGCCAUUGAUACUGUUAGUCUUGAGUUCGGUUGAGGUAGGCGGAAUGUGUAAUGUAGCGGUGAAAUGCUUAGAUAUUACACAGAACACCAAUUGCGUAGGCAGCUUACUAGACCGACACUGACGCUGAGGCACGAAAGCGUGGGGAGCGAACAGGAUUAGAUACCCUGGUAGUCC
rnacentral:rRNA from 1 species